rnacentral:lncRNA from 1 species
AAAGGGGUACUAGGCUAAAAUUCAAAGAGACAAAAGAGACUUGAAAGAAACUGCGGGAGUUGAAUUUAUAAAAGAUUUCAUUCACUCCAACAACUCUAUAGCAACUAUUUUCAUUCAUAUUUUUCUUCUCCUUUCUUUCUUUUUUUUCUUUUUCAUAAGGAGUGUGUAUUGACAUGUAUACAUCCUUCUAUUUUUUUUUCAUUCAUUUUUUUUUAUUUUCUAUUUUUCUUUUCUUUUUCUACCAACUUCUGAAAUAUUACAAACAUAAUCAUUCAACCUCACACAACUCCAAACAAGACUCU